GACGAACGCUGGCGGCGUGCCUAAUACAUGCAAGUCGAACGCAGGGGGGACGGGUGAGUAACACGUGGGUAACCUCCCAUCAGAGGGGAUAACACUUGGCAACAGGUGCUAAACCGAUACGGAAGGAGGGACCCGUGGUGCAUUAGCUAGUUGGAGUGGUAACGGCUCAGCAAGGCCACGAUGCAUAGCCGGCCUGAGAGGAGGAUCGGCCACACUGGGACUGAGACACGGUCCAGACUCCUACGGGAGGCAGCAGUAGGGAAUCUUCGGCAAUGGGCGCAAGUCUGACGGAGCCACGCCGCGUGUGUGAAGAAGGUUUUCGGAUCGUAAAACUCUGUUGUUAGAGAAGCGUUACCUACACAGAAAGCACCGGCUAACUCCGUGCCAGCAGCCGCGGUAAUAC
rnacentral:rRNA from 1 species